UUAUUUACAAAAAAAGAUAAAAUAAGAAUAUAUCAUAAUUGCUCAGGGAUCAAAUCACAGGUUUCGGGCUUGACCACACUUAUCAACACUGAUCUACUACUGAAUGAUCUAGACGAUUGCCAAUAUAUUUGUCCACCUAAACUCAUCUCCCUAGACCUUUUCCAUAUAACUGCCUGUAACAAAUUUUAUCAUGUUUUCAUUUCUUAACAAUGAACACCCAAACAAAUACUAAUCAAAUCCCGGAGAUAUAAACAGCACACUCUAUCAUGCAAGUAGCUUCCCUACCACAUAUUUCACAAGUCCAAUCCAGAUCUCUGAAAUCUUAACUGGGAAUAGGUUGAGAAGAGAACAGAAUAGAUCUUAAGCAGAGAUGGUUUCUUGGGUUUCUUUUGGGCACUUGAGGGCCUCUUUCGGGUGUUUAAUUGAUCUACAGCGCGACAACGUACAGCUAGGUCAGCAUGUAUCUGGAUGCAGCAUAAGCUAACGUUGCCUAGCACCUCCAGGUCAGCAUGUAUCUGGAUGCAGCAGAGGAGAUACACGACUUUUUCAGAGAAGAUUUCAGAGUCAGACCAAAAUUGUGUGUAUCGGGAUAACAUACAGACAUUCAAAUAGACAUGAGCUUAUUCCAAGUGAUUUUCUUUCCUGAGGUCAUGUACUAAUUUAGUUCUAAACAGAAACAGCCAACGUUUCCAGUCUUUAAGGAUAGAGCCUACCAACACAUCAUCCUAGAGUCAAACCAUUUCGAUACUGGUCUUACAUGAGUCAGCCCUCUACCAUGAUGUGAAGAUUCAUUUCAUUUCCCAUGUCAUGCAAUGCUUCUUUUUGUAUUUUUUUUAAUGAUUUUGUAUUUUUCAUAAUUUUCUCCCCCUAAAUUUGAGAAUAAAUAAAAACUACCUAAGAAUAGAAAACUUUAUGAACAAAUUUAC
rnacentral:lncRNA from 1 species